UAAUGACUUACAACUUUCAGCGAUGGAUGUCUA
rnacentral:rRNA from 1 species